rnacentral:lncRNA from 10 species
AUGAGAGGAUUUCUAAUGAGCUCAAUGUGUUCUAAAUGGUUUUAUGUGAUUCCCAGGUUUGCUUCAUCAGAAUCCAUAGGUUCUCAAGUGGCGCUCCUCCUUGUGCUCGCAGAACCCCGCUUAUUGACUCUACAGAUACUUUUUGCAGAAAAUGGCUGCCUCUUUGCUGUCUACUGUGACUCUUCAACUAGGAAAGAACCAAAUAGAUUUAACCUACUCAACUCGACACUUCUGAACAAAAAAGAAUGCAGAAUAUAUAGCACCAACCAAGAUGUACCAGUUGCAUCUUUCACAUUUAUCAGGAAAAGCAAACAUCUUCGCAAACUCCC